rnacentral:rRNA from 1 species
UACGUAGGGGGCAAGCGUUGUCCGGAAUCAUUGGGCGUAAAGAGCGUGUAGGCGGCUCGAUAAGUCUGCUGUGAAAGUCCAGGGCUCAACCCUGGAAGGCCGGUGGAAACUGUCGGGCUAGAGUCCGGAAGAGGCGAGUGGAAUUCCCGGUGUAGCGGUGAAAUGCGCAGAUAUCAGGAGGAACACCAAUGGCGAAGGCAGCUCGCUGGGACGUGACUAACGCUGAGACGCGAAAGCGUGGGGAGCAAACAGG